GUCGGCAGCCAUAUCACCCUGAAGCCCAAGACUGGUUGCCCACUGAAGCUAAGCAGGGUUGCGCCUGGUCAGUAUGUGGAUGGGAGACCUCCUGGGAAAACUAGGUUGCUGCUGGAA
rnacentral:rRNA from 1 species